CCCCUUAAUGCACCUCACCUGAUCGAGGUCACGACCCUUCCUCUCCCUAGCCUUAGCGAGUCUAAACAACUUUUUCUCCCCUCCUUUCUCCUACAACCCUGCAUACAAGCUCUCAAAAGCGGCCGUCUUAGCUGCCGUGACUGCUGACUUUGCCUCCUUCCUCGCUAGCUUGUACUCUUUCCUGUUUACCCGCUUCUCCUCUUCGUCCUUACUUUUCACCAACUUAGCAUACGCCCUUUUCUUGGUCCCCCACUUUCUUCUCCACCUCUUUAUUCCACCACUAAUCCCCCCGACGGUGCCCGGCCCGGCCCCUAGAAACACCCAACACCUUACUUGUAUUCUCCCUGAUGCACCUUGCCGCCCUGUCCCACAUACUAUCCACGUCCCCCCUAUACUCCUACACCCCCACUCCUGCCAGCCUCUCCCCUAUCUCCCAUGCAUUCACUGCUUCGAAAGGUGAUCAGGUGCUCGUCCUUCUUCGGGAAGCCCGAGUUCACCACCACCAGCCCAAAGGCCCUCGCAAACUCCAGUAGGGUCGCCCCCUCGUCAUUUCUCUCCCCAAAACUAAAACCACCAUGCACGUCACUAAAGCCUCUCGGUAGCACCCCGAUGUGUCCGUUGAAAUCCCCUGCUACAACAAUCUUCUCUGAACUAGGCACGCCUCUCACCACCUCCUCCAAAGCCUCCCAAAACUGCAUCUUCUCCUCCCCCUUUGAUCCCACUUGCGGCG
rnacentral:lncRNA from 1 species